rnacentral:rRNA from 1 species
GAUGAACGCUAGCGGCAGGCUUAACACAUGCAAGUCGAGGGGUAUUGGUUUUCGGACCAAGAGACCGGCGCACGGGUGCGUAACGCGUAUGCAAUCUACCUUUUGCAGAGGGAUAGCCCCAGAGAAAUUUGGAUUAAUACCUCAUAGUAUAGUACUUUGGCAUCAAGGAACUAUUAAAGUCACAACGGCAAAAGAUGAGCAUGCGUCCCAUUAGCUAGAUGGUAAGGUAACGGCUUACCAUGGCAAUGAUGGUAGGGUCCUGAGAGGGAGAUCCCCCACACUGGUACUGAGACACGGACCAGACUCCUACGGGAGGCAGCAGUGGGAAUUUUGGACAAUGGCGCAAGCCUGAUCCAGCAAUGCCGCGUGCAGGAUGAAAGGCCUUCGGUGUAAC